UGGAGAGGAAGAAAAGAUACAGGUUCAGAAGCAAUAACUUUUUUUAUGCGCAGUGUACGAUACCUGCAUCAUUUCGCACAUUCAUUUCUGCAAUCAGUGGCAGUGUAUGACUUUAAAUUUAUCUUCACUUCAGUUUCGGUUUUGGUCCAAAUAUGAAGUUUUUAAAAGAAUAGCUUAAACAUAGAUAGCUGAGGAUGCUCAAUUUUGGAACCAAAAAAAUUAAAUAUUGAAGGAAGAAAAACUGAACCAAAAUAUUUACGUAGCUCAAGUGUAAAAGAUACGUACAAAUGUAACAAACCUUUCCCAGUUUAUGAAGAACGCGGUCAGCAAAAUGGUGGCGAGAGCAAGAACAAAGCAGACAGCAGCAACCACCCAUGUCGGUGUGUACUGCGGAGAUAUGGGCUCAUCCUCCAAAGUCCGUGUUUCCUGAGAGUCUGGAAAAGGAAUUUGAAAGUUGCCUGGAACAUGAAAAGAUUGCGAGAAUGGGAUAGUAGAAGUACAUUCUGAGAUUGGCUAAGGACUAAUCAGAACUACAGAAGUUCUAGAAGGAUUCUCCUGGAGUAUGCAUCUCACGUUCGUCACGUGAAGAAGGUUCCAAUUUUGCUGUUAGCACACUUCAAAGUGGUGGCUAUGGCCUCAUCAGAUUCUUUAACUCAAUAGCAGAUCAAUGUCAAUGAACACUGAUUAUCUCGUUUUUAGUAGAAGCUACAUACGGCAGAUGCCGCACAUAUACUGAAAUAGUCUUCUUCGAAGCAUAAAUUUGAUUGCACACUGGGGGGAAGAGACAAAUUCACAGGGCAUUGGUCAUGGAAAUCAUCAAAAUGACGUGGGCAACACUUGGUGGUAAAUGUUCCAACCAAAACAUGCACAGAAUGUACAAAACUGAAUCCACAUAUCCACGGAUAACAAUUAGAUAUGGGAAUUGCAAAUCCAGUAAUAAGAUAUGUUACAACAUUUAAUCGAAUUUAUUGUUAAUCAGUCUUUGAACUGUUGAAUUCACAUUUUUUUCCCCAAAGAAUACAACGUUACAUAUCAUACACAUAUACUAGGUAUAUCACAAAAUCAGACAGACAUCUCGGGUACAAAAUAUCAAUUUCUUGAUGAUCGUCCAAGUUCCCAAGCACGUAUACCCAGUCAUCUUCACAAACUUAUGCAUUGUAGUCUUUCCUAUGACCAUCCUCCUUCCUUAAGUAGCACCAUCUUUACCUCCCAAGAUGUUCCAAGUCCAAACUCUAUUGCAGAAAAAUCAUCUCACCAAGAAGCCACACAGAUAAUCACGUUAAAACUGCCAAA